rnacentral:rRNA from 1 species
GACGAACGCUGGCGGCGUGCUUAACACAUGCAAGUCGAACGGAAAGGCCCCUUUGGGGGUACUCGAGUGGCGAACGGGGGAGUAACACGUGAGUAACCUGCCCUUGACUUCGGGAUAACUUCAGGAAACUGGGGCUAAUACCGGAUAGGAAUCCUUGCUGCAUGGUGGGGGUUGGAAAGCUUCGGCGGUUUUGGAUGGACUCGCGGCUUAUCAGCUUGUUGGUGGGGUAGUGGCUUACCAAGGCUUUGACGGGUAGCCGGCCUGGGAGGGCGACCGGCCACAUUGAGACUGGGAUACGGCCCAGACUCCUACGGGAGGCAGAAGUGGGGAAUAUUGCACAAUGGGCAGGAGCCUGAUGCAGCAACGCCGCGGGCGGGAUGACGGCCUUCGGGUUGGAAACCGCAUUCAGCAGGGGCGAAGCUUGUGGUGACGGUACCUGCAGAAGAAGCACCGGCUAACUACGUG